rnacentral:lncRNA from 1 species
GAGACACCGCCUGUUCACAAGAGUUUGAAGAAGUCCACUCUUUUCCUGGCCAGAGCUGGGUGUCAAGACUACCUUUCUGGAGUCCUUAGAGAGACUCCCGGAAGAGUAUCUGAAGUUUCCCAAAGCCUCCAGGCCCUGCCUUCUGCCUGCACAUUCUGCCCUGAUUUCCGGAACCUGGAAGCCUAGGCAGGCAGUGGGGAACUCUGACUCGCCUGUGCUCUGGAGCUUGAUCCGAAAGCUUCCACAGUGAGGACUGCUCCGUGGGGGUAAGAGAGCACCAGGCACUGAGGCCUGGGAGUUCCACAGACCAACACCCCUGCUCCUGGCGGCUCCCACCCGGGACUUAGACCCUCAGGUCCCUAAUAUCCCGGAGGUGCUCUCAAUCAGAAAGGUCCUGCUCCGCUUCGCAGUGGAAUGGAACGGAUUUAGAAGCCUGCAGUAGGGGAGUGGGGAGUGGAGAGAGGGAGCCCAGAGUUACAGACGGCGGCGAGAGGCCCCAAAGAGUCUGAUGUUUACAAGACCAGAAAUGCCACGGCCGCGUCCUGGCAGAGAAAAGGCUGAAAUGGAGGACCGGCGCCUUCCUUAUAAGCUCGUUGGGGCCUAAGCCAGUACCGACCUGGUAGAAAAAGCAACCACGAAGCUAGAGAGAGAGCCAGAGGAGGGAAGAGAGCGCCAGACGAAGGUGAAAGCGAACCACGCAGAGAAAUGCAGGCAAGGGAGCAAGGCGGCAGUUCCCGGAACAAACGUGGCAGAGGGCAAGACGGGCACUCACAGACAGAGGUUUAUGUAUUUUUAUUUUUUAAAAUCUGAUUUGGUGUUCCAUGAGGAAAAGGGAAAAUCUAGGGAACGGGAGUACAGAGAGAAUAAUCCGGGUCCUAGCUCGCCACAUGAACGCCCAGAGAACGCUGGAAAAACCUGAGCGGGUGCCGGGGCAGCACCCGGCUCGGGUCAGCCACUGCCCCACACCGGGCCCACCAAGCCCCGCCCCUCGCGGCCACCGGGGCUUCCUUGCUCUUCUUAUCAUCUCCAUCUUUAUGAUGAGGCUUGUUAACAAGACCAGAGAGCUGGCCAAGCACCUCUAUCUCAGCCGCGCCCGCUCAGCCGAGCAGCGGUCGGUGGGGGGACUGGGAGGCGCUAAUUAAUUGAUUCCUUUGGACUGUAAAAUAUGGCGGCGUCUACACGGAACCCAUGGACUCAUAAACAAUAUAUCUGUUGGGC